CACGGGGGGAGCAAGCGUUGUUCGGAAUCACUGGGCGUAAAGGGCGCGUAGGCGGCCUGGCAAGUGACGGGUGAAAGCCCUCGGCUCAACCGAGGAACUGCCUGUCAUACUGCCGGGCUUGAGUCCGGGAGAGGUGAGUGGAAUUCCCAGUGUAGCGGUGAAAUGCGUAGAUAUUGGGAGGAACACCAGUGGCGAAGGCGGCUCACUGGACCGGAACUGACGCUGAGGCGCGAAAGCGUGGGGAGCAAACAGG
rnacentral:rRNA from 1 species